GUUUUCUUUCUCCUUCUCUUGGACCCAGGGCUGCUUUUAUCCUGUAGAUACCAGUUUCCCACAAAUUAUCUUCUGUGCUGGCAAUGCGUAAAUCUCGCAGAAGUAGAGGAGCUGGAGGAUGGAGACUUGGAACUGGAGGCUGAACCACACCUGCAAUUUCAGAAAGAACAAUUCCAUUAUGUGAAUGUUCAGCCUACCCUUCCAGAAGUUCACAGAGGAUGACAGGAGACAUGUCAAGAAUAAUGAAGAAAAAUAGAGCAGCCCAUCGAGCCGUCAGA